GUCCCUACGGAGACAUCAGAUAAAAUUGGAACGAUACAGAGAAGAUUAGCAUGGCCCCUAUAUUUUUUUUUUAACUUUUACACCAAAGAAAAACUAUUUUA
rnacentral:snRNA from 1 species